rnacentral:rRNA from 1 species
CACGUAGGGCGCAAGCGUUGUCCGGAAUUAUUGGGCGUAAAGAGCUCGUAGGCGGCUGUUCGCGUCGGAUGUGAAAGCUCAGGGCUCAACCCUGAGAGGCCAUUCGAUACGGGCUAGCUAGAGUGUGGUAGGGGAGAUCGGAAUUCCUGGUGUAGCGGUGAAAUGCGCAGAUAUCGAGAGGAACACCAGUGGCGAAGGCGAGUCCCUGGACAACACCUGACACUGAGGCACGAAAGCUAGGGGAGCAAACAGG